UCGUAAGUGGAGGAUGAAGAUGAUUUGAUACCAUUGUAGUUUUAGCAGUAAAUAUGUUGAAUCAUAGAUAUAUUUUGAUAUAUAUUUAUGUAGAGAAAUUAAGAUUAUAUUGACUUGGGGAUAGUAUGAUCGCAAGAUUGAAAAUUAAAGAAAUUGACGGAAGAAUACCACAAGGAGUGGAUUGUGCGGCUUAAUUUGACUCAACGCGGGGUAAUUUACCAGGUAUAACAUGAUAUAAUAUUUUAUCAUGAUAGUGGUGCAUGGCCGUUUCCAAUGGAUGCUGUGAAGUAAUGAUUAAUUUCAACAAGAUGUGAGACCCUCAUAUAGACAGAUGUAGUGAUACAUAUGAAGGAGAGGAUUAAAACAGGUCCGUUAUGCCCUAAGAUAAUCUGGGUUGCACGCGCAAUACAAUAAUAUUUGAUAUUAUAAGGGAUAAUAUAAUGUAAGAUAUAUUUGAACAUGGAAUUGCUAGUAAAUUUUAUUUAAUAAGUAGAAUUGAAUGAGUCCCUGUUCUUUGUACACACCGCCCGUCGCUAUCUAAGAUGGUAUUAUCUAUGAACAAAUUUAUAAAGGGAAUAGAUAGUACUAGAUCUGAUAUAAGUUCGAACC
rnacentral:rRNA from 1 species